UACGUAGGGCGCAAGCGUUGUCCGGAAUUAUUGGGCGUAAAGAGCUCGUAGGCGGCUUGUCACGUCGGGUGUGAAAGCCCGGGGCUUAACCCCGGGUCUGCAUUCGAUACGGGCAGGCUAGAGUGUGGUAGGGGAGAUCGGAAUUCCUGGUGUAGCGGUGAAAUGCGCAGAUAUCAGGAGGAACACCGGUGGCGAAGGCGGUUCUCUGGGCCUUACCUGACGCUGAGGAGCGAAAGCGUGGGGAGCGAACAGG
rnacentral:rRNA from 1 species